UACGGAGGGGGCUAGCGUUGUUCGGAAUUACUGGGCGUAAAGCGCACGUAGGCGGCUUUGUAAGUUAGAGGUGAAAGCCCGGGGCUCAACUCCGGAAUUGCCUUUAAGACUGCAUCGCUCGAAUCAUGGAGAGGUGAGUGGAAUUACGAGUGUAGAGGUGAAAUUCGUAGAUAUUCGGAAGAACACCAGUGGCGAAGGCGACUCACUGGACAUGUAUUGACGCUGAGGUGCGAAAGCGUGGGGAGCAAACAGG
rnacentral:rRNA from 1 species